CCACUUGAGGCAGCAGUCAGGGACCGCUUCUACUGAACCUUUGAGGAAAGGAGGAAGGAAGAAAUGCUUUCAGAUCUCGGAUGCACACCUUUCAAAGGGCUAAGUGUAACCACAUGGGUCAACCACAUGCACAGCCUUACUACAGAAGCCGUCCUUUCAUUUCAACUUAUAGCAAGCUAUGUUUUUACAAUGAAAGAAAUAACUGCAACUAGAGAAAACUGUAUAAAAACAUUAAAUUGCCAGUAUUUUUGUAAGGUUCCAUUUUGUAAAGAGAAUAAUAUUCAAAGACUUUUGUAGAAUACAAAGUGAAAAUUUGUAUCUGCGAAACUAUACUUGUAUUAA
rnacentral:lncRNA from 1 species